AUUAUUUGGUUAUUUACAAAGACAGAUGCAAAUGACAGAAUCAUUCAUCUCAUUCCUCUGUGUGCCACUGUAGAUCAACUCAUUGUGACAUGCCAAGAUUCUUGAGUUGCUAUUCAUGAGUGGAUAAUGUCAAUCCCCAAAUCCCUGGAUUAUUUAAUGAAGAUCCCAGUGCCAUGAGUAAGAUGAUGAAGAUGUCACUGACACCAUACAGAUUAGUGCUGUCAUCAGCCUUGAGUAAAGGAGCAUCUUUUUGCAGCAAAUGUCAGUUAGUGCAGACAAUCACGGCCAAUGAAAGUGCUAAGAGCAAUCGAUUGUUGAGUGUCCAGCAUUAAAAAAGAUACCCAUAUCAACCUCCCUUCAAGACUUUGGGAACAUUAUGGAGAAGAAGGAGGCAAAAUAGUCUUGAUAUAUCCACGGGGAGCUUAAAGUCUAUUAGAGGAAAGGAAGUUAUUGUCCUCAGUAAUGUAGCUACAAUUAAGCUACUCAUGUUCUAAUAGAGUCACACCCAGGUCAGGUUGCUACACUCCCUAUUAGAAGAGUUAGACAACUACUCUGUGGGAAACAGAUACUUGAAGAUAACUUAAGCAAAAACAACAACAACAAAAUAACAACAAGAUACACAGCUUUUACAGCAUCAACAGAUGUUAAUCAACAGUCGAGGGUCUGGUUUCUUUUGAUUUUUCCAGGUGGAAAGAAUGUGUGUGAUCUUUAAAAGGGACAUAAGUGCUCUUGGUGCCAUCUUCAACUCUGAUUGAAUUUACUCUAAGGGUUAAUACCACAAAGGAUUGAUGAGUCAGGAGCUGAGUGAUAGUGGCCCUUUGAGAUGGGAACAAGAGCGUUGGUCUUUUCAAAGCUCUGAAGUGAUGAUGAGAGGCACAAGUGUCCUAACG
rnacentral:lncRNA from 1 species